rnacentral:rRNA from 1 species
GACGAACGCUGGCGGCGCGCUUAACACAUGCAAGUCGAACGGAAAGGCCUGCUUUCCCUUGUGGUUUGCGGGUACUCGAGUGGCUAACGGGUGAGUAACACGUUGGUGAUCUGCCCCCAACUUGGGUAUAAGCCUGGGAUACUGCGUCUAAUUCCCGAUAGGACUUCAGGGUGGUUCCUGUGGUGGAAAACGAUUUUCUAGUGGUUGGGGAUGAGCUGGCGGACUAUGAGCUUGUUGGUGGGGUAAUGGCCGACCAAGGCGGGGAAGGGUAGCCAGAGGGAGAGCGGGGACGGUCACAUUGAGACAGGGACACGGCCCAGACGGCAGCGAGAAGUAGCAGUGGGGGAUAAUGGACAAUGGGCGGAAGCCAGAUGCGGCGAGGGUGUGUGGAGGAUGACGGGAUUCGGGUUGUAAACUCCUUGCGACCGAGAGGAAGAAACCUGGUUGGAAGGGUGGUGACGGUAGUGGUAGAAGAAGCACCGGCUAACUACGUG